GCCAAGCAAAACAAAGGCUAAGAAGGGCAGAUCUGAUCUGGGAAAAAAAGAGACCAAGAAGCAAUGGCUCCUAAGAAAAUAACCUACCAGCGUCUCAGAAACUCCCUCUGUCUUCUCAUGUUUGAGGUUCUAUUCAGGAAGCAGGCACCAAAUGGAAAUAUGAAACCAUCCCAGCAACCCAAACACAGCUGGUUUUCCCUGGAUACCAUGAACCACACUGUCCAAACCCUCUUCACUCCCACCAACACUGGCCACCCCACCAACUAUGAGACGCUCAAGGAGAAGCAUGAGGUGGCUGUGCUGGGGGCGCCCCACAACCCUGUUUCUCCGAUGUUCACCGUGAUCCACAUCUGCAGUGAGACCUCUGUGCCUGACCACGUCAUCUGGUCCCUAUUCAACAUCUCUUCAUGAGCUCCUGCUGCCUGGACUUCAUAGCACUCCGUGAAGUCUAGGACAGGAAGUCUAUGGACAGGAAGGUGGUUGGCGACCUGACUGGGGCCCAGGCCUGUGUCUCCACUGCCAAGUGCCUGAACAUCUGAGCCCUGGCUCUGGGCAUCCUCCUGACCAUUCUGCUCAUCCUCAUCUCAGUGCUGAUCUUCCAAGUCUAUCGAUAGAACAGGAGGCAGCAUCCAGGCCAGGAGCUCUGUCUACAACGUGUCUCCCAUGUACUCCACCUUCCAUUCCUCGCCCUGCCCCCAGAACCCAGUCCUGUAUCAGCCCUUUAUCCUCACACAAUUUUCUACAAUGUCAUUCAAUAAAGUGCAUGUGUUCCUGGUGCAAAAAAAAAAAAAAA